CAAUAGCGUAUAUUAAAGUUGUUGCAGUUAAAAAGCUCGUAGUUGGAUUUGUGGUGUACUUUGGCGGCCCGUCACUAUGUGAUGGAGUUUGCUGAAGUCGCCAUCCUUGGGUGGAUCCUGUGUGGCAUUAAGUUGUCGUGCAGGGGAUGCCCAUCGUUUACUGUGAAAAAAUUAGAGUGUUCAAAGCAGGCUUAUGCCGUUGAAUAUAUUAGCAUGGAAUAAUAAGAUAGGACCUUGGUACUAUUUUGUUGGUUUGCGCACCAAGGUAAUGAUUAAUAGGGACAGUUGGGGGUAUUCGUAUUUCAUUGUCAGAGGUGGAAUUCUUGGAUUUUUGAAAGACGAACUACUGCGAAAGCAUUUACCAAGGAUGUUUUCAUUAA
rnacentral:rRNA from 1 species